rnacentral:rRNA from 1 species
CCCCCUGUGAGAAUGCCCUACCCCUUUCCCCACAGGAAAGAAGGAGCUGGUAUCAGGCACAAGUAUUUUUAGCCCAUGACGCCUUGCUCAGCCACACCCCCAAGGGAACCCAGCAGUAAUAGACAUUAAGCAAUAAGUGUAAACUUGACUUAGUUAAUAUCAAGAGGGCCGGUUAAACUCGUGCCAGCCACCGCGGUUAUACGAGAGGCCCAAGUUGACGAACAACCGGCGUAAAGAGUGGUUAAUAGUAACUUAACUAAAGCCGAACACCUCCAAGGCUGUUAUACGCACCCGAAGGCAGGAAGCCCUCCCACGAAAGUGGCUUUAAUAUACUAUGACCCCACGAACGCUAGGACACAAACUGGGAUUAGAUACCCCACUAUGCCUAGCCCUAAACACAAAUAUGACCCUUACCCCUCAUAUUCGCCAGGGAACAACGAGCCCCAGCUUAAAACCCAAAGGACUUGGCGGUGCUUUAGCCCCCCUAGAGGAGCCUGUUCUAGAACCGAUACUCCCCGUUCAACCUCACCCUCUCUUGUUUUUCCCGCCUAUAUACCGCCGUCGUCAGCUUACCCUGUGAAGGGCCAAUAGUAAGCAAAAUUGGCAAAGCCCAGAACGUCAGGUCGAGGUGUAGCGCACGGGAGGGGAAGAAAUGGGCUACAUUUACUGAGCCAGUAAACACGAAUGAUAAAAUGAAACCGUAUCUGAAGGAGGAUUUAGCAGUAAGAGGAGAACAGAGCGCUCCUCUGAAAUCGGCCCUGAAGCGCGCACACACCGCCCGUCACUCUCCCCAAGCCAAACCCA